rnacentral:lncRNA from 1 species
UGAUUCCUUAUGCCAGUAGAAGAACAAUACCUGGAGGUCCUGAAAGGUGAAGAUAACAGAAUCACGGGGAUGGUUUCCCCCACACUGUCCUUGUGGUAGUGAAGAAGUCUCAUGAGAGCUGAUGGUUUCAUAACGGGGAGUUCCCCUGCACACACUCCCUUGCCUGCUGCCAUGUAAGAUGGGACGCUGCUCCUCAUUCACCUUCUGCCAUGACUGUGAGGCCUCCCACGCCAUGUGGAACUGUUUACCCGGGUCUAUCUUUACUUUUCAAGUUCAGACAUGUCACUGGUUUUCUGCUGCCCCUUUUGGCUCCAUUCCACGUGCGUCCAUACAAACCGGCUGCUGCACCUGGAGGCUGAGCAGCCCACAGCUUCAUUGAGUCAGAGCCCCGUCUACACCAUCACGACGGCAGUGUGGCGUCUGCACAGAGAUACGUUUCUCUUGGCUUUCUGCUGUACUCCGGGCUGGCUGUUAUCAGCCCUGCUACUGUGAUGGUCAACAUUGAGUGUCAACUUGAUUGGACUGAAGGAUGAAGUACUGUUCCUUGGUGUGUCUGUGAGGAGCAUGUUGAUUUGGCAAAGAACAGUUUGGCUUUGAAGAGGGAGCACCAUUUUGCCUGUUUCUCAUGUGUGAGCAGACGGACUCAGAAAGCACUGGUUCCAAUCCAGAUUUGCUGUUAAGCACAGCGCCCUCCACAACCAUCCAUGAAGUGGAGCAGAAGAACUUCCGCCUUUCAGA